rnacentral:tRNA from 1 species
GAGAGAUGGCUCAGAGGUUAAGAGCACUGGCCACUGCUCUUCCAGAGGUCCUGAGUUCAAUUCUCAGCACUCA